AUUGAACGCUGGCGGCAGGCCUAACACAUGCAAGUCGAGCGAGCGGCGGACGGGUGAGUAAUGUCUGGGAAACUGCCUGAUGGAGGGGGAUAACUACUGUAAACGAUAGCUAAUACCGCAUACCAUCAGAUGUGCCCAGAUGGGAUUAGCGGGUAGGUGGGGUAUAGGCUCACCUAGGCGACGAUCCCGAGCUGGUCUGAGAGGAUGACCAGCAACACUGGAACGGAGACACGGGCCAGACUCCGACGGGAGGCAGCAGUGGGGAAUAUUGCACAAGGGGCGCAAGCCUGAUGCAGCCAUGCCGCGGGUGUGAAGAAGGCCGUCGGGUUGUAAAGCACUUUCAGCGGGGAGGCGUUACCCGCAGAAGAAGCACCGGCUAACUCCGUGCCAGCAGCCGCGGUAAUAC
rnacentral:rRNA from 1 species